rnacentral:lncRNA from 1 species
CUGUAUCUACAAAAAGAAAAAAAAGAUUAGCUGGGUGUGGUGGCAUGUGCCUGUGGCCAGUUACACGGCAGGCUGAAGUACAGGAUCACUUGAUCCCAGGAAGUCGAGGCUGCAGUGAGCUAUUUACACCACUACACUCCAGCCUGGUCAACAGACCGAGACUCUGUCCCUAAAAAAAAUUAAAAUUUUUUUUAAAAAUGAGCCUCUUAGAAGUAGCAGCACUGGGCUAUUGAGAUGCUGACUCCAACUCACAUGCCACAGGUCUAGGAGCUGAGCUGCUGUUUGUCCCCUGCAGCCCAUCAGCCACCGAUGACACACAGCAGGAUUAAGUUACUUGGAAACAGUUGUGUUCCAGUUUGGUCUUGUUUUUAAGCUUUCUGAGUUGGGACCAGGGGUAGUUUUUAUGUAACAAGGCUCACUGCAGCCUCAACCUCCUGCAAUCAAAUGAUCCUCCCACUUCAGCCUCCUAUGUAGCUGGGACUACAGGCGUACACCACCAUGUGUGUCUAACUUUUAAAUUUACUUUUACUUUUUGUAGAGAUGAGGUCUCACUUUGUUGCCUAGGCUGAUCUCAAACUCCUGGGCUGAAGCAAUCCUCCUGCCUCACCUUCACAAAGUGCUGGGGUUACAGGCAUGAGCCACCACACCCACCUGAUGACAAGGAUUUUAAAGCAGCCACCAUAAAAAUGCUUCAGUGAGCAAUUAUAAACACUCUUGAAGCCAUUUAAAGAAAAAAAAAAAACAGUCUCAGCAAAUAGUCUCAGCAAAUAGCCUCAGCAAAUAAAGAGAAGAUAUAAAAAAUAAACCAAAUGGAAAUUUUAACUGAAAUAUACAAUGACAGUCAAAGUUAAAGUACUGCAUGGAUGGUUCAAGAGCAGAAUGGAAAGAGUAAACAACCAGUUAUUUUAACAUUCCCAAUAGUAGCCUACAACUUCCAUUUCCACUGUGGACCCAAGCUGUGAGGGGCUGAGUCUCUCCUAGGUGCAGGGCAGCACAGGAACUGGCUGCACAAGGCCAGAGAGGUUACGUGGCGGCUCUCUUUAAAUUAGACCACACAGAGCGCUUCAUUCCCUGUGCAGUCUUCACGUCUUCCCAGUCCAGUUUGACGUCUGGAACCUCAUCUUCUGGCUCUGGAUCCUUCCUCA